rnacentral:rRNA from 1 species
UACGAAGGGGGCUAGCGUUGCUCGGAAUCACUGGGCGUAAAGGGCGCGUAGGCGGCCCGCUAAGUCGAACGUGAAAUCCCCGAGCUCAACUCGGGAACUGCGUCCGAUACUGACAGGCUUGAAUCCGGGAGAGGGAUGCGGAAUUCCAGGUGUAGCGGUGAAAUGCGUAGAUAUCUGGAGGAACACCGGUGGCGAAGGCGGCAUCCUGGACCGGCAUUGACGCUGAGGCGCGAAAGCUAGGGUAGCAAACGGG